rnacentral:rRNA from 1 species
GAUGAACGCUGGCGGCGUGCCUAAUACAUGCAAGUCGAGCGAACGGACGAGAAGCUUGCUUCUCUGAUGUUAGCGGCGGACGGGUGAGUAACACGUGGAUAACCUACCUAUAAGACUGGGAUAACUUCGGGAAACCGGAGCUAAUACCGGAUAAUAUUUUGAACCGCAUGGUUCAAAAGUAAAAGACGGUCUUGCUGUCACUUAUAGAUGGAUCCGCGCUGCAUUAGCUAGUUGGUAAGGUAACGGCUUACCAAGGCAACGAUGCAUAGCCGACCUGAGAGGGUGAUCGGCCACACUGGAACUGAGACACAGUCCAGACUCCUACGGGAGGCAGCAGUAGGGAAUCUUCCGCAAUGGGCGAAAGCCUGACGGAGCAACGCCGCGUGAGUGAUGAAGGUCUUCGGAUCGUAAAACUCUGUUAUUAGGGAAGAACAUAUGUGUAAGUAACUGUGCACAUCUUGACGGUGCCUAAUCAGAAAGCCACGGCUAACUACGUG